rnacentral:hammerhead_ribozyme from 1 species
AUCCAGCCGACGAAACUCAAAUAGGACGAAACGCGUGUCAAACUGGAU